rnacentral:rRNA from 1 species
UUGCAUAUUUUGGGUAGCGGAGGAAAAGAAACCAACCGGGAUUACCUCAGUAACGGCGAGUGAAGCGGUAACAGCUCAAAUUUGAAAUCUGGCUCUUCCGGAGUCCGAGUUGUAAUUUGUAGAAGAUGCUUUGGGUUGUGGGUUCGGCCUAAGUUCCUUGGAACAGGACGUCAUAGAGGGUGAGAAUCCCGUAUGUGGCCGAGGCCCGCGCCUAUGUAAAGCUCUUUCAACGAGUCGAGUUGUUUGGGAAUGCAGCUCAAAAUGGGUGGUAAAUUUCAUCUAAAGCUAAAUAUGGGCCAGAGACCGAUAGCGCACAAGUAGAGUGAUCGAAAGAUGAAAAGCACUUUGGAAAGAGAGUUAAACAGUACGUGAAAUUGUUGAAAGGGAAGCGCUUGCAACCAGACUUGGGCGCUGUCGAUCACCCCGAGUUCUCUCGAGUGCACUCGACAGCGCACAGGCCAGCAUCGGUUCGGGUGGCUGGAUAAAGGCCGUAGGAACGUGGCUCCUUUCGGGGAGUGUUAUAGCCUACGGUGCCAUGCAGCCCAGCCGGACCGAGGACCGCGCCUUCGGGCUAGGAUGCUGGCGUAAUGGUUGUAAGCGACCCGUCUUGAACCACCGGGACACCA